AUUGAACGCUGGCGGCAGGCCUAACACAUGCAAGUCGAACGGGUGGCGGACGGGUGAGUAAUGUCUGAGAACCUGCCCGAUGGAGGGGGCUGACUACUGUAAACGGUAGCUAAUACCGCAUACCAUCGGAUGUGCCCUGAUGGGAUUAGCUAGUCGGUGGGGUAACGGCUCACCUAGGCGACGAUCCCUAGCUGGUCUGAGAGGAGGACCAGCCACACUGGAACUGAGACACGGUCCAGACUCCUACGGGAGGCAGGAGUGGGGAAUAUUGGGCAAGGGGCGCAAGCUGGAUGCAGCCAUGCCGCGUGUAUGAAGAAGGCCUUCGGGUUGUAAAGUACUUUCAGCUAGGAGGCGGUACUCACAGAAGAAGCACCGGCUAACUCCGUGCCAGCAGCCGCGGUAAUAC
rnacentral:rRNA from 1 species